rnacentral:rRNA from 1 species
AAGAUGGCGACCGGCGCACGGGUGAGUAACACGUAUCCAACCUGCCGAUAACUCCGGAAUAGCCUUUCGAAAGAAAGAUUAAUACCGGAUGGCAUACGAAUAUCGCAUGAUAUUUUUAUUAAAGAAUUUCGGUUAUCGAUGGGGAUGCGUUCCAUUAGUUUGUUGGCGGGGUAACGGCCCACCAAGACAACGAUGGAUAGGGGUUCUGAGAGGAAGGUCCCCCACAUUGGAACUGAGACACGGUCCAA